UCCAAUCGAACCCGGAGAUAGCUGGUUCUCCCCGAAAUAGCUUUAGGGCUAGCGUUAUGGAGAAGAGUUAUACGAAGGUAGAGCACUGAAUGGGUGAGGGCCUCAUCUCGAGGUACUGAUCUCAAUCAAACUCCGAAUGUCGUAUAAUAUACAUAGCAGUAAGACUAUGGGUGAUAAGGUUCAUAGUCAAAAGGGAAACAGCCCAGACCGCCAGUUAAGGUCCCAAAAUUAUGCUAAGUGGGAAAGGAGGUGGAGUCGCAUAGACAACUAGGAGGUUGGCUUAGAAGCAGCCAUCCUUUAAAGAGUGCGUAAUAGCUCACUAGUCGAGUGAUUCUGCGCCGAAAAUGUAUCGGGGCUAAGCAUAAUACCGAAGCUGCGGGAUUAGACAAAGAGUCUAAUCGGUAGGGGAGCGUACUAAACGCGAAGAAGGUUGACCGGAAGGGCAGCUGGAGAGUUUAGCAGUGAGAAUGCCGGUGUGAGUAGCGAUAAGAUGGGUGAGAAUCCCAUCCGUCGGAAGCCUAAGGGUUCCAGGGGUAAGGCUCGUCCGCCCUGGGUAAGUCGGGACCUAAGGUGAGGCCGAAAGGCGUAGCCGAUGGAUAUCAGGUUGAUAAUCCUGGACCACCGUAGAGCUGAAGGAGUGACGGAGGAGGGAAGUUAGGAUGGACUGGUGGAAUAGUCUAAUGAAGCACAAAGAGGGAUACGUAGGAAAAGCCGCGUAUUGAAACCUUGAAGUGUAAACCGCAAGGCCUAAUGGACCACACUUCCAAGAAAAGCUUCUAGGAGUACUUUAUGGUGCCCGUACCGUAAACGGACACACGUAGGCGAGGAGAGAAUCCAAAGACGCGCGAGAUAAUUCUUGUUAAGGAACUCUGCAAAAUGACCCUGUAACUUCGGGAUAAAGGGGACUCUAGAGAUAGAGGCGCAGAAAAUAGGCCCAAGCGACUGUUUAACAAAAACAUAGGUUUCUGCUAAAGCGAAAGCUGAUGUAUAGGAGCUGACGCCUGCCCAGUGCUGGAAGGUUAAGAGGAGAUGUAAGUCGCAAGGCAAAGCAUUGAAUUGAAGCCCCAGUAAACGGCGGCCGUAACUAUAACGGUCCUAAGGUAGCGAAAUUCCUUGUCAGGUAAGUUCUGACCCGCACGAAAGGCGUAACGAUUUGGGCGCUGUCUCAACAAGAAACUCGGUGAAAUCAUAGUACCUGUGAAGAUGCAGGUUACCCGCGAUCAGACGGAAAGACCCCAUGGAGCUUCACUGCAGCUUAAUAUUGAUAUUGGGUGUGUGAUGUACAGGAUAGGUGGGAGACGAAGAAGCGAGUACGCUAGUAUUCGUGGAGUCAACGUUGGGAUACCACCCUUCAUACAUUUAGUAUCUAACUAGUAUCCAUAAUCUGGGUAUAGAACAGUGUUAGGUGGGCAGUUUGACUGGGGCGGUCGCCUCCCAAAGAGUAACGGAGGCGCCCAAAGGUUCCCUCAGAAUGGUUGGAAAUCAUUCAAAGAGUGCAAAGGCAGAAGGGAGCUUGACUGCGAGACGGACAGGUCGAGCAGGAACGAAAGUUGGGCUUAGUGAACCGGCUGUGCUGAAUGGAAAGGCAGUCGAUCAACGGACAAAAGCUACCCUGGGGAUAACAGGCUGAUCUCCCCCAAGAGUUCACAUCGACGGGGAGGUUUGGCACCUCGAUGUCGGCUCAUCGCAUCCUGGAGCUGAAGUCGGUUCCAAGGGUUGGGCUGUUCGCCCAUUAAAGCGGUACGCGAGCUGGGUUCAGAACGUCGUGAGACAGUUCGGUCCCUAUCUGUCGUGGGCGUAGGAAAUUUGAAGGGAGUCGUCCCUAGUACGAGAGGACCAGGAUGAACGUACCGCUGGUGAAUCAGUUGGCCUGCCAGGGCCACAGCUGGGUAGCUACGUACGGACGGGAUAAACGCUGAAAGCAUCUAAGCGUGAAGCCCCCCCUGAGAUGAGAUUUCCCAUUAGAAAUAAGUAAGACCCCUUAGAGAUGAUGAGGUAGAUAGGUCAGAGAUGUAAGCACUGUGAGGUGUUGAGUUGACUGAUACUAAUAGGUCGAGGACUUAACCUU
rnacentral:rRNA from 1 species